UUCAUUCCUACGUGAGCAGAUCCAGUUCACUUCUUGCACGUAAACAGGGAAAAUUACAACAUCAAGGACUUAUUACUCCUUCUUUUGGAAUAACGUUAUUGCUGGGGAGAAGCUUGCCUACUUUGCAUCACUGAGAAGAAAUAUUUUCUGCAGGUAAACUCAGAGCUUUCAGGAAACACUAUCUGCUAUUCUGUCUUUUCUUAUUAUUUGGUUUGGUCUGCUCUUCUGACGCCAAAGUACUUACAGAACUUGCCAAAAUGAAACAAUCCUCAGAUACUGUUGGCUUUAUAUCUGCAUAAACUAAAAUACCAACUACACAUCAAUAACUUCUUCCACUGAAUUCAGCUGGAUGCUGCAUUCUUCCCUUGUCAGAAGCGGCUGCUAAAAUAAAAAGAUGUCAGCGGAAGAGAAAGCAUCUCUAAAGACAGCAUUGCACUUUGGUAUUACUGGAUAUGUACUAUCAUUAAAACUAUGCAUCAGGAAUAAAAGCACUCCCCAAAGUUACCAUGCCUGCUGUUUAUGCAAUAUGCAGAUGAGCAAUAUGUGACUGGUCUAUGAUAAAAGAACUUUAACACUAAUUGAGAGCUCACUAUCAAAUAAGAACCAUUAGGAAAGCCAUAGACUCCAACUUGUUUGUAAAUUAGUUAUUCGCAAGCCUAUCAAUCUGGAACAAUCUUGUAACACAGAGAUCAUGAUAAUUU